CAGUCGCCGCGGGAAAACGUAGGUGGCAAGCGUUGUCCGGAAUUAUUGGGCGUAAAGGGCUCGCAGGCGGUUUCUUAAGUCUGAUGUGAAAGCCCCCGGCUCAACCGGGGAGGGUCAUUGGAAACUGGGAACCUUGAGUGCAGAAGAGGAGAGUGGAAUUCCACGUGUAGCGGUGAAAUGCGUAGAGAUGUGGAGGAACACCAGUGGCGAAGGCGACUCUCUGGUCUGUAACUGACGCUGAGGAGCGAAAGCGUGGGGAGCGAACAGGAUUAGAUACCCCCGUAGUCCCUGUCUCUUAUAA
rnacentral:rRNA from 1 species